rnacentral:lncRNA from 1 species
ACGGCGAGGAUGACGAUGAUGAUGACGAGGAUGAGGAUGAGGAGGACGAGGAAGAUGAGGACCAGCCACCGGCCAAGAAGAAGAAAUGAUCUGCCUUCCUGCUGUCAGUGUUUCAGUCCGUUAGUUUAUCUGCUGUCUAGAUGUUGAUUGAGCGGGUCUGGUACACACCGACCUAUGUAGCUUCUGUGUCUUGGUGGUUUGGUGUCUCAUAGGGUAGAACAUUGAACUUCUAAUGUUGUUUCCUGCGUUGUGCAAGUAGUCUUAACAUUUCGGUCUUGAUAUGCUGUGUUUAUUGGAGCUGUGAUACCAUUCAAUCUAAUUCUUGUUACUCCAUGUUGUCACAUGUUCUUUGAAUGGCUUUUGGUUUUACUGUAUGAAAUCCAAAUUAUUUUAUGCUUUUGGUGACUGCUAUUUGAAUGUUAGGAUUUGAAUAACCUGGAAGGAAAAGGCA